rnacentral:misc_RNA from 1 species
AACGCACAUUGCGCCCCUUGGUAUUCCGAGGGGCAUGCCUGUUCGAGCGUCAUUAUAACCCUCAAGCUCAGCUUGGUGUUGGGGCCCGCUGUCACCGGCGGCCCUUAAAAUCAGUGGCGGCGCCAUCUGGCUCUAAGCGUAGUAACUUACCCGCUACAGAGACCCGGUGGAUGCUGGCCAGCAACCCCCAAUUUUUCUAUGGUUGACCUCGGAUCAGGUGGGGAUACCCGCUGAACUUAA